ACGAACGCUGGCGGCGUGCUUAACACAUGCAAGUCGCACGGAAAGGCCCUGCUUUUGUGGGGUGCUCGAGUGGCGAACGGGUGAGUAACACGUGAUUAACCUGCCCUUGACUUUGGGAUAACUUCAGGAAACUGGGGCUAAUACCGGAUAGGAGCUCCUGCUGCAUGGGGGGGGUUGGAAAGUUUCGGCGGUUGGGGAUGGACUCGCGGCCUAUCAGCUUGUUGGUGGGGUGGUGGCUUACCAAGGCUUUGACGGGUAGCCGGCCUGAGAGGGUGACCGGCCACAUUGGGACUGAGAUACGGCCCAGACUCCUACGGGAGGCAGCAGUGGGGAAUAUUGCACAAUGGGCGGAAGCCUGAUGCAGCAACGCCGCGUGCGGGAUGACGGCCUUCGGGUUGUAAACCGCUUUCGCCUGUGACGAAGCGUGAGUGACGGUAAUGGGUAAAGAAGCACCGGCUAACUACGUG
rnacentral:rRNA from 1 species